GACGAACGCUGGCGGCGUGCUUAACACAUGCAAGUCGAACGGAAAGGCCCUGCUUUUGUGGGGUGCUCGAGUGGCGAACGGGUGAGUAACACGUGAGUAACCUGCCCUUGACUUUGGGAUAACUUCAGGAAACUGGGGCUAAUACCGGAUAGGAGCUCCUGCUGCAUGGUGGGGGUUGGAAAGUUUCGGCGGUUGGGGAUGGACUCGCGGCUUAUCAGCUUGUUGGUGGGGUAGUGGCUUACCAAGGCUUUGACGGGUAGCCGGCCUGAGAGGGUGACCGGCCACAGUGGGACUGAGAUACGGCCCAGACUCCUACGGGAGGCAGCGGGGGGGAAUAUUGCACAAUGGGCGGAAGCCUGAUGCAGCAACGCCGCGUGCGGGAUGACGGCCUUCGGGUUGUAAACCGCUUUCGCCUGUGACGAAGCGUGAGUGACGGUAAUGGGUAAAGAAGCACCGGCUAACUACGUGC
rnacentral:rRNA from 1 species